rnacentral:rRNA from 1 species
AUUGAACGCUGGCGGCAGGCCUAACACAUGCAAGUCGAACGAGUGGCGGACGGGUGAGUAAUGUCUGGGAAACUGCACGAUGGAGGGGGAUAACUACUGGAAACGGUAGCUAAUACCGCAUACCAUCGGAUGUGCCCAGAUGGGAUUAGCUAGUAGGUGAGGUAAAGGCUCACCAAGCCGACGAUGUCUAGCUGGUCUGAGAGGAUGACCAGCCACACGGGGACUGAGACACGGCCCAGACUCCUACGGGAGGCAGCAGUGGGGAAUAUUGCGCAAUGGGGGCAACCCUGACGCAGCCAUGCCGCGUGAAUGAAGAAGGCCUUCGGGUUGUAAAGUUCUUUCGGUAGCGAGGCGUUAUCUACCGAAGAAGCACCGGCUAACUCCGUGCCAGCAGCCGCGGUAAUUC